rnacentral:rRNA from 1 species
AGGUUACUGCUAUCGGUGUUCGAUUAAGCCAUGCGAGUUAAAUGUUCUUCGUGAACAUAGCGAACUGCUCAGUAACACGUGGACAAUCUGCCCUUGGGUUCGGGAUAACUCCGGGAAACUGGAGAUAAUACCGAAUAAGCCAUUGAAGCUGGAAUGCUCUUUGGUUCAAAGUUCCGGCGCCCAAGGAUGAGUCUGCGGCCUAUCAGGUUGUAGUGGGUGUAACGUACCUACUAGCCGACGACGGGUACGGGUUGUGAGAGCAAGAGCCCGGAGAUGGAUUCUGAGACAUGAAUCCAGGCCCUACGGGGCGCAGCAGGCGCGAAAACUUUACAAUGCGGGAAACCGCGAUAAGGGGACACCGAGUGCCAGCAUACUAUGUUGGCUGUCCACAUGUGUAAAUAGCAUGUGUUAGCAAGGGCCGGGCAAGACCGGUGCCAGCCGCCGCGGUAACACCGGCGGCCCGAGUGGUAAUCACUAUUAUUGGGUCUAAAGGGUCCGUAGCCGGUUUAAUCAGUCUUCCGGGAAAUCUGACAGCUCAACUGUUAGGCUUCCGGGGGAUACUGUUAGACUUGGGACCGGGAGAGGUAAGAGGUACUACAGGGGGUAGGAGUGAAAUCUUGUAAUCCCUGUGGGACCACCAGUGGCGAAGGCGUCUUACCAGAACGGGUCCGACGGUGAGGGACGAAAGCUGGGGGCACGAACCGGAUUAGAUACCCGGGUAGUCCCAGCCGUAAACGAUGCUCGCUAGGUGUCUGGAAUGGUGCGACCGUUUCAGGUGCCGCAGGGAAGCCGUGAAGCGAGCCACCUGGGAAGUACGGCCGCAAGGCUGAAACUUAAAGGAAUUGGCGGGGGAGCACCACAACAGGUGGAGCCUGCGGUUUAAUUGGAUUCAACGCCGGAAAU